CCUGCACCGGUGGGGUCCCUCGGCCUGGCCUGCCAGGACUCCUCGGGGGAUGUUGGAGAGCUGGUUUCAGCCCGAUGCCAGCAGGCCAGGCCGAGGGAUCCCACCGGUGCACG
rfam:Myotis brandtii contig163574, whole genome shotgun sequence.